rnacentral:siRNA from 1 species
CCACAACACCUAUCAGCAACACU